rnacentral:rRNA from 1 species
AGUCACUGACAUUAGAUACCCGUGUAGUCCAGGGUGUAAACGCUGCAGACUUGGUGUUGGGAACCCUUCGGGGGUGCUCAGUGCCGGAGAGAAGUUGUUAAGUCUGCUACUUGGGAGUACGUCCGCAAGGAUGAAACUUAAAGGAAUUGGCGGGGGAGCACCGCAACGGGAGGAGCGUGCGGUUUAAUUGGAUUCAACGCCGAAAAACUCACCAGCAGCGACUGUUACAUGAAAGUCAGGUUGAUGACCUUACUAGAUUUUCAG